AACACAGCUAACACAAGGCCCCGCAGGCAGGACUCUGGGACAGACGCAGGCCAGGUGAGCGUCUGAACAAGGGGCAGUCGGCCAGGGUGGGCUUGCGGGAGUCCCCACCUUCACCUCUCUCCCUUCCAGCUGCCCAGAGCCCAGACCAAGCAUGGAUGCUGUGGAUGCCACCAUGGAGAAACUCCGGGCACAGUGCCUGUCCCGCGGGGCCUCGGGCAUCCAGGGCCUGGCCAGGUGAGCUGUCCCCUCCCAGCUUCCUGACGCCAGCCCCUGAGACCACUGUUCCAAUUGUGUCCCCUGCCUCCAGGUUUUUCCGCCAACUAGACCGGGACAGGAGCAGAUCCCUGGACGCUGAUGAGUUCCGGCAGGGUCUGGCCAAACUCGGGCUGGUGCUGGACCAGGCGGAGGCAGAGGGUGUGUGCAGGAAGUGGGACCGCGACGGCAGCGGGACACUGGAUCUGGAGGAGUUCCUUCGGGCGCUGCGGGUGAGCCCCCACCUCACAAUCAAGGCGUGUGCCCUGGGCAUGAGGUGACAGAGGAUGCUGAGAUGCGGAGACAGGGGACUCCUCCUCAAGAGCUGCUGUUAAGAGGCGCCUGCUGGGGCAUACAGCCCCGGUGCUCUGCACAGCGUCUUGGGGGUUUGGGUGUGCUACCCACCA
rnacentral:sRNA from 1 species